UACGUAGGGGGCUAGCGUUGUCCGGAAUCAUUGGGCGUAAAGCGCGUGUAGGCGGUCCGGUAAGUCCGCUGUGAAAGUCGGGGGCUCAACCCUCGAAUGCCGGUGGAUACUGUCGGACUAGAGUACGGAAGAGGCGAGUGGAAUUCCUGGUGUAGCGGUGGAAUGCGCAGAUAUCAGGAGGAACACCAAUAGCGAAGGCAGCUCGCUGGGACGUUACUGACACUGAGGCGCGAAAGCGUGGGGAGCGAACAGG
rnacentral:rRNA from 1 species